rnacentral:rRNA from 1 species
UGAACGCUGGCGGCGCGCCUAAUACAUGCAGGUCGAGCGAGAAGACGUAGCAAUACGUUUGUAAAGCGGCGAACGGGUGAGGAAUACAUGGGUAACCUACCCUAGAGUGGGGAAUAACUAGCCGAAAGGUUAGCUAAUACCGCGUACGCUCCUUGGACUUCGGUUCAGGGAGGAAAGCGGUACCGAGGGUAUCGCGCUCUUGGAUGGGCUCAUGUCCUAUCAGCUUGUUGGUGAGGUAACGGCUCACCAAGGCUUCGACGGGUAGCUGGUCUGAGAGGACGAUCAGCCACACUGGCACUGCGACACGGGCCAGACUCCUACGGGAGGCAGCAGUAAGGAAUAUUGCGCAAUGGGCGAAAGCCUGACGCAGCGACGCCGCGUGGGGGAUGAAGGUCUUCGGAUUGUAAACCCCUUUCGGGAGGGAAGAUGGAACGAGCAAUCGUUCGGACGGUACCUCCAGAAGCAGCCACGGCUAACUUCGU